rnacentral:tRNA from 1 species
GGACUUAGCUCAUUGGUAAGAGCAACUUAUAAACUAAGUAGGAUUGGGUUCGAUUCCCAUAUGUUCA